CUGUGCGUAAUGUCAGCCCGGUUAGACGGCCGGCUUUGGAAGCCGGAGGCCGCAGGUUCAAAUCCUGCCGCACAGACCA
rnacentral:tRNA from 1 species